rnacentral:rRNA from 1 species
UGGGUAACCUGCCCAAGAGAUCGGGAUAACACCUGGAAACAGAUGCUAAUACCGGAUAACAACAGAUGAUGCCUAUCAACUGUUUAAAAGAUGGUUCCGCUAUCACUCUUGGAUGGACCUGCGGUGCAUUAGCUAGUUGGUAGGGUAACGGCCUACCAAGGCGAUGAUGCAUAGCCGAGUUGAGAGACUGAUCGGCCACAUUGGGACUGAGACACGGCCCAAACUCCUACGGGAGGCAGCAGGU